rnacentral:rRNA from 1 species
GACGUAGGGCGCGAGCGUUGUCCGGAUUUAUUGGGCGUAAAGAGCUCGUAGGCGGCUCGUUGCGUCGGCUGUGAAAACCCGCAGCUCAACUGUGGGCUUGCAGCUGAUACGGGCGGGCUUGGAUUCGGUAGGGGAGACUGGAAUUCCUGGUGUAGCGGUGAAAUGCGCAGAUAUCAGGAGGAACACCGGUGGCGAAGGCGGGUCUCUGGGCCGAUAUCGACGCUGAGGAGCGAAGGCGUGGGGAGCGAACAGG